CCCCAGCACCCUGUGCCCAUGUCUCAUCACCCCAUGUCCAUGUCCAUGUCUCAUCACCCCAUGUUCAUGUCCAUGUCUCAUCACCCCAUGUCCAUGUCCCAUCACCCCAUGUCCAUGUCCCACUGCUGGGUGUGUGGGUACCACAGGUACCACCUCUGAAGGGUGGAGCAGCCUCCUGUGUUACACAGAGUCCAUGCAGUCAGGUAAGGAGGAGCUGUAGGGAAUUCCCCCACGUGAACCUGCCCAGCAUCACCUAACCUGUGUAGAGAGAAGGGUUUUGCUCUGAUUUUCUGCAGUCUUUUGUGCUGUGCUUCACAUAUUGCCUCAAAGAUAAUGCUCAGCUAGAAGCAUGCGGGUGCACGUUCAUGGCACCUCUCCCCACCAUUUCUUCCUUUUAAACCAGAACAAAAGGACUCUUGGGAGGGCUUAUUUUGGAUUAGCUUUGAAUUCCAAAGGAGGACAUUGCUGUUGUGUUUCAAACCAGGAAGCAAUUCUGGUUAACAGGAAUAGCUGAAAAACUAGAGCCAGAUUUUCCACUCAUUUACUGUAAAUUCACCCCACUCUAAAUCCUGCAGAACUGUUUCAGGCUCAUACAGAGCUGCACUUGAUUUUAUAGCCAGGCAAAAUAUAUGAAAUCCAUACUCAAUUUACUUCAAGCCAGAGUGUUUUCCAGAGGAUCCUUCAAACUGUAUUGCAACAUUGCAACAAUAAUGAACACUUAAAUGUGAAUCAGGGUCACAGUUUGAGUAAAGGAUCCUUGCUCUUGGGAUCAUGUAUAUCUGGGCAUUGAUACCCAGUGUCAUUUUGUUGAUGAAAACCAGUUAGCAAGCCAAUUUUUAAGGUUGCCUCUGGUGUAAUUGCAGGUUGCUAUCACCAGCACACUCUCACUUGAGUAUAUGGGGAUCCAGAUCCAGUCUCUUGGCAGGGCAGACAUACAAAACCACUUUACAUCUGCAUUCAUUAAGAUAAAUGGCACAGUGUUCCUGUUCAUCAGCAUUGGGAUAUUCUUCGUGGUGCUGGAUGCAUGCUCAGGAGCAGUCUUUGACACAGUUACCAGUGAAAACUGCCCCUGCAAUAACUGAGUAUGUUCAAACAUCCAUAAAUGAGAGAUCACUUGUCCUCGUGUGCUCUAGAAAUAUCACAGACAUGCUGGGCAGCUCUGAAAUGUCUGUUUUUCUCAGGUUUGGUUCAGCAAAGCCUAUUAUCUUCCACAAGGGAGAUAAAUCUAUUUAUUCUAUCAUGUUUAUUUGUAUUUUUAUUGCUUUUCAUGUUUCUUUGGCUUUUAAUUAGGUUGGAAAACACAGCAGAAUCACUGGUGUGUGUCCCAUCCAAAAAUAUACAUGCAGUUACAGAGUGCUUAUCAAGAUAUUUCCCACCACAAUAUGCCAGUGUAACCCAGUGAAAAUCUCUUGGCUUAGGGAUGGUGAGAAAUAGGAGAGCUAUUUCAGGAUUUUGACUCCACUUUUGCCAGUGAGAAGUUCCAUGCUGCAAUUUUUUCAUCCUAAAGGGAGCUUUUCUUUUCCUAACAAAAUAAGGAAAAAAAAAAAGGAGAAUCAUUUGGUAAAGAUUCCACCUCUAAAGUUCCACUGCUUUGUAAGGAAAAACAAUCAUAACCUUAAAAGCUGAUGAAAAAGAAAACAAUUUGCAGUGAAAUAAGAGGUAUUUAUUGUUUUGGAUAGAAGGAUGGUGAAAUCAACAGUUUGGGAGAGUCCUUAUUACAAUUUUGCCUUGCAUUGCUGCAAGAAAUCCACUGGUAUCAUUGGUCCAGAAAAUCCAUGCUGGGUUUCCUACCAGAAAACCAGAGGAUAUUGAGUCCAGGCUUGGAUGAAUAAUGUGAGUGAUAAAGAAAUUAAGAAAACAGCCACCUAACUUGAUGCAGAUUUCAGGCCCUCACACAGAGUUCAGAUGGAAAAUUGACUGUAUUUCCAUAUUUUUUGGGAUGGAGGAGUGGGAGCGGGUUACAGGGGGUUGGGGACUUUUUCCCCACUGCUUUAUUGAAAUGCAUAUCAAUUUCUGGUUGAAGUUUCAAAGCUCAUUGCUAUGACCAUUGCAGGGGAAGACAACACAUUCUUUACAGCAGAGGCAGUGAUUUCAUUUCAGUGCAUGUUUGAUUCUUGAGAAGAUAUUUCUUCUUUCAUCCUUUGAAAAGCAAAAGUUUGAGGUUUUCUUUUCUGUUUUUGUCCUUAAACUUUAUUGUUUCAUUCUUACAUCAAAGCCCUGAAUACUUUUGAAAGGAAUUUUUUGAUUAAAAAGGAAUCUUUUUUUGUUUGUUUUGCCAAACUUUGUUCCCUGAACCACCUGUGCCAUCCUCUUUGUGAGCCUGGCUCAGCCUCCUGCCUCGACUGCUCCAGGGGCACAAAGAGCAGCAGGCAGGGAGGGCCAGCAGCAUCCUGGGGACGCUCUGGGGGUCUUGUCCUGGCCCUGCCACAUCGGUGGGAUGCUGGUGGCUGGCAGUGGGACUGAGCUGCUGCUGGCUGAUCACAAGCUGCCCCUGUUUUGCCUUUCCUAAGGGCAAGGGUGUUCACCCAUGUGCCUGCCCUGAUUUCCAGUCUGGGUAAUUAUGCUCUGCUCCAUGAGCUUCCUCCUGCUGGUUCAGGUAUUUGGGCUAUUUGACUUCACAGCUCCAGGACUGCUCCGUGCUGGGGGGCAGCGUUUCAGGGCGGGCUGCAGCAUUUCUCCCAAGCACACAUUGCUUCUGCCAGGGAUAAUGCAAAAUAACCCAAAUCCUCUUGACCCCAGCGGGAUCAGGAUUUAGGGUCUUGUUUCCUGGUUUUUGCAAAACCUUAUUUAAAUUAAAAGUGUUUACAGGAAUAGUCUCGAUCCAGCCAGCUGCAAAUAGCCUUGGGAGACUUUGCAAUGAAAAGCAUAAUAUAAACACAAGACAUUAUUAUUAAAAUGGAAGAAUAUAUAAUGCCUUUGUACUUUGGGACAGCAGAGGACCAGAGCAGAGUUGACAGGAGGGAUAGUUAAGGCAUAACAGGAUGACACAGAUGUAAACUAUUAAAAGAAGGAUUCAAAGUGCCUAUCCAUUUUCAGGUUGUCAAAUAAGAGAAAGUACCAGUAUUAUGUAAAAAUAAAGAAUAAAAUUAUAUUCCUGCUGAUAUCUGG
rnacentral:lncRNA from 1 species